CAGUCGAGCGGACAGAUGGGAGCUUGCUCCCUGAUGUUAGCGGCGGACGGGUGAGUAACACGUGGGUAACCUGCCUGUAAGACUGGGAUAACUCCGGGAAACCGGGGCUAAUACCGGAUGGUUGUUUGAACCGCAUGGUUCAGACAUAAAAGGUGGCUUCGGCUACCACUUACAGAUGGACCCGCGGCGCAUUAGCUAGUUGGUGAGGUAACGGCUCACCAAGGCGACGAUGCGUAGCCGACCUGAGAGGGUGAUCGGCCACACUGGGACUGAGACACGGCCCAGACUCCUACGGGAGGCAGCAGUAGGGAAUCUUCCGCAAUGGACGAAAGUCUGACGGAGCAACGCCGCGUGAGUGAUGAAGGUUUUCGGAUCGUAAAGCUCUGUUGUUAGGGAAGAACAAGUGCCGUUCAAAUAGGGCGGCACCUUGACGGUACCUAACCAGAAAGCCACGGCUAACUACGUGCCAGCAGCCGCGGUAAUACGUAGGUGGCAAGCGUUGUCCGGAAUUAUUGGGCGUAAAGGGCUCGCAGGCGGUUUCUUAAGUCUGAUGUGAAAGCCCCCGGCUCAACCGGGGAGGGUCAUUGGAAACUGGGGAACUUGAGUGCAGAAGAGGAGAGUGGAAUUCCACGUGUAGCGGUGAAAUGCGUAGAGAUGUGGAGGAACACCAGUGGCGAAGGCGACUCUCUGGUCUGUAACUGACGCUGAGGAGCGAAAGCGUGGGGAGCGAACAGGAUUAGAUACCCUGGUAGUCCACGCCGUAAACGAUGAGUGCUAAGUGUUAGGGGGUUUCCGCCCCUUAGUGCUGCAGCUAACGCAUUAAGCACUCCGCCUGGGGAGUACGGUCGCAAGACUGAAACUCAAAGGAAUUGACGGGGGCCCGCACAAGCGGUGGAGCAUGUGGUUUAAUUCGAAGCAACGCGAAGAACCUUACCAGGUCUUGACAUCCUCUGACAAUCCUAGAGAUAGGACGUCCCCUUCGGGGGCAGAGUGACAGGUGGUGCAUGGUUGUCGUCAGCUCGUGUCGUGAGAUGUUGGGUUAAGUCCCGCAACGAGCGCAACCCUUGAUCUUAGUUGCCAGCAUUCAGUUGGGCACUCUAAGGUGACUGCCGGUGACAAACCGGAAGAAAGGUGGGGAUGACGUCAAAUCAUCAUGCCCCUUAUGACCUGGGCUACCACCGUGCUACAAUGGACAGAACAAAGGGCACC
rnacentral:rRNA from 1 species